UCAAGUAAUUAAGUGCAUGUGGUGGAUGCCUUGGCAGUCAGAGGCGAUGAAAGACGUGAUAGCCUGCGAAAAGCUCCGGGGAGGCGGCAAAUAUCCUUUGAUCCGGAGAUGUCUGAAUGGGGGAACCCACCUACUUUAAGGUAGGUAUUGCAACAUGAAUACAUAGUGUUGCAAGGCGAACGAGGGGAAGUGAAACAUCUCAGUACCCUUAGGAAAAGAAAUCAAUUGAGAUUCCCUCAGUAGCGGCGAGCGAACGGGGAUCAGCCCAUUAAGUUAUGUGUGUUUUAGUGGAACGCUCUGGGAAGUGCGAACGUAGAGGGUGAUAUUCCCGUACACGAAAGGGCACACAUAAUGAUGACGAGUAGGGCGAGGCACGUGAAACCUUGUCUGAAUAUGGGGGGACCAUCCUCCAAGGCUAAAUACUCCUGACUGACCGAUAGUGAACCAGUACCGUGAGGGAAAGGCGAAAAGAACCCCUGUGAGGGGAGUGAAAUAGAUCCUGAAACCGCAUGCAUACAAGCAGUGGGAGCACCUUCGUGGUGUGACUGCGUACCUUUUGUAUAAUGGGUCAGCGACUUAUAUUCAGUAGCGAGGUUAACCGUAUAGGGGAGCCGUAGAGAAAUCGAGUCUUAAUAGGGCGUUUAGUUGCUGGGUAUAGACCCGAAACCAGGCGAUCUAUCCAUGAGCAGGUUGAAGGUUGGGUAACACUAACUGGAGGACCGAACCCACUGUCGUUGAAAAGCCAGGGGAUGACUUGUGGAUAGGGGUGAAAGGCUAAUCAAGCCUGGUGAUAGCUGGUUCUCCCCGAAAGCUAUUUAGGUAGCGCCUCGGACGAAUACCAUAGGGGGUAGAGCACUGUUUCGGCUAGGGGGUCAUCCCGACUUACCAAACCGAUGCAAACUCCGAAUACCUAUGAGUACUAUCCGGGAGACAGACUGCGGGUGCUAACGUCCGUAGUCAAGAGGAAAACAAUCCAGACCGCCAGCUAAGGCCCCAAAAUCAUAGUUAAGUGGGAAACGAUGUGGGAAGGCAUAGACAGCUAGGAGGUUGGCUUAGAAGCAGCCACCCUUUAAAGAAAGCGUAAUAGCUCACUAGUCGAGUCGGCCUGCGCGGAAGAUGUAACGGGGCUAAAACUAUGUGCCGAAGCUGCGGAUGUAUACUUUGUAUACGUGGUAGGGGAGCGUUCUGUAAGCCGAUGAAGGUGUGUUGAGAAGCAUGCUGGAGGUAUCAGAAGUGCGAAUGCUGACGUGAGUAACGACAAAACGGGUGAAAAACCCGUUCGCCGAAAGACCAAGGGUUCCAGUCCAACGUUAAUCGGGGCUGGGUGAGUCGACCCCUAAGGCGAGGCCGAAAGGCGUAGUCGAUGGGAAAAUGGUUAAUAUUCCAUUACUUCUGUGUAAUGCGAUGAGAGGACGGAGAAGGCUAAAUCAGCCUGGCGUUGGUUGUCCAGGUGAAAGGAUGUAGGCAUGUAUCUUAGGCAAAUCCGGGGUACUCUAUGCUGAGAUCUGAUAGCAAGCUGUACUUGUACAGCGAAGUGGUUGAUGCCAUGCUUCCAGGAAAAGUCUCUAAGCUUCAGUUACACAGGAAUCGUACCCGAAACCGACACAGGUGGUCAGGUCGAGUAGACCAAGGCGCUUGAGAGAACUCUGCUGAAGGAACUAGGCAAAAUGGUACCGUAACUUCGGGAGAAGGUACGCUGUUGUUGGUGAUGGAACUCGCUUCCUGAGCUGACGACAGCCGCAGAAACCAGGCCGCUGCAACUGUUUAUUAAAAACAUAGCACUCUGCAAACACGAAAGUGGACGUAUAGGGUGUGAUGCCUGCCCGGUGCUGGAAGGUUAAUUGAUGGGGUUAGCGUAAGCGAAGCUCUUGAUCGAAGCCCCAGUAAACGGCGGCCGUAACUAUAACGGUCCUAAGGUAGCGAAAUUCCUUGUCGGGUAAGUUCCGACCUGCACGAAUGGCAUAAUGAUGGCGGCGCUGUCUCCAGCAGAGGCUCAGUGAAAUCGAAAUCGCUGUGAAGAUGCAGUGUACCCGCGGCUAGACGGAAAGACCCCGUGAACCUUUACUGCAGCUUGACACUGAACUUUGACCUUACUUGUGUAGGAUAGGUGGGAGGCUUUGAAGCUGGAACGCUAGUUCCAGUGGAGCCGUCCUUGAAAUACCACCCUGGUAAUGUUGAGGUUCUAACUCUGUCCCGUGAUCCGGGACGAGGACCGUGUCUGGUGGGUAGUUUGACUGGGGCGGUCUCCUCCUAAAGAGUAACGGAGGAGUACGAAGGUGCGCUCAGCGUGGUCGGAAAUCACGCGUAGAGUAUAAAGGCAAAAGCGCGCUUAACUGCGAGACCCACAAGUCGAGCAGGUACGAAAGUAGGUCUUAGUGAUCCGGUGGUUCUGUAUGGAAGGGCCAUCGCUCAACGGAUAAAAGGUACUCUGGGGAUAA
rnacentral:rRNA from 1 species